rnacentral:misc_RNA from 1 species
UCUGGAUCAGCAAGCUUAACCGAUAAUUCUUUCCAAGUUUUCUCAGCUGAAUCAAGUUUUUUAAUUAGAUAAGGUUCCGCCAUGCAGAUGAUUCUUCUAGAAGAACUACGGUUCGGCGGAGCUCGAAUAAAAGCUAAUCCUCCACCGGGAAGUCCAGAGCAACGACGUCGUACUGGAAACUGAAUGGAACAAGCGGUGGAGAUUCCGGCAGUGGUGAAGCCGGAGUUAG